rnacentral:misc_RNA from 1 species
UACGUAGGGUGCAAGCGUUGUUCGGAAUUAUUGGGCGUAAAGCGCGCGUAGGCGGGUUUGUAAGUCGAUUGUGAAAGCCCUGGGCUUAACCUGGGAAUGGCAGUCGAAACUGCAAGUCUUGAAUACCUAAGAGGAUGGCGGAAUUCCCGGUGUAGUAGUGAAAUACGUAGAUAUCGGGAGGAACACCUGAGGCGAAGGCGGCUAUCUGGUGGUGUAUUGACGCUGAGGCGCGAAAGCGUGGGGAGCAAACAGG